GUUGUGCCGGCAGCGAGCUCUGCUCGGAGCCCCGGUUGUCCCGGCGCUGCCCACCCCGCAACGUCCCGCGGCCCGGCCCCGCGUGGCGGCAGCGGGGUCCCCACCGGAGCUCCGUGCACGGCUCAGGCUUAUCGCCAGCAGCCUCCCUCUCUGCUGGGCUCUCUCCAGUGGGCGCUCACCAUCCCCGUGUGCUGUGCAGGCAGUGCGGCUCAGACCACGCUACCACGAGCACCGUAACCAUACUGGUUAUCAUCUGAUGCUUUGAGCCUUUCGUUAACAAAGUGCAGCUUCUUAAACGUUAAUCACCGACAGAAGUCGUCACAUGAAAGAAGGGGGUUAUUUUAUGACCACAGAGUACUACGUGCUAAUCUCUGGAUGAUGGUGUUUCCUGCAAUGAGGAAACUGGGCAGCUGAGGUUGGCGCGGUGUUGGUGUCGGUAUCGCUUCCUUGAGGUGUGUGCACAGUGACGCACCCAGGGCUGAGACCGAGCCCCUGACGCCGCACCAGGCCUGGGCUGUGGGCACAGGAAGCAUUCGGCCAUACAGAAACCCCUUUGGUGCCAGGAACUGCAGCAGCUGAGUUGACUCCAUGUAACCACGGCCCUUCCUGUGUUAGGAGGCUUUGAUGCCCAUGACGGGGGAUGGUGUGGUGCACACGCAGCCACCAUGUCACCAGUGCUGCUCUGGAGCAGGACGUGCAUCCCUGGCACAGCAUGGAUGGUAGAGCUCCAACUCAGGGCAGACAAACCCGAUUUUGGUGCCUGACUCCUUCCAGCUUGGAGCAGCGGCCACGGGCUGACGCUGUUUGGGAGCAGCCAUCAUACAAGUUCUCUCUUUGGUUUUAAAAAAUGAAGAAAAACCAGAAAAACCACAACCUGCAGGGAUUCCUCAUUGCCUGAUGUUGAUAACCACGCUCCAAGUGCCCCCCUCUCCCCGCAGACAGUGGGAAGCAGCUCAGUAAGCGAGCCAGGCCCUCCAGCUGCUCCUCUGGCAGAAGAAGAGAUCAUACAAUCAGUCACAGAAUCACAGCAUGGUUGGGCUGGAAUGGAUCUCAUAAGCCCCAACCCCAGCUGUGGGCUUGUUCCCCCCCCACCAGAUCAGGCUGCCCAGGGCCCUGUCCGUGGCCUUGGGCACCCAUCGGUCAGGCAGAGCUCUUGUGUUGUCCUUUGGUGGUUUCUGCCCACCCAUGUCUCUCCUCCCACGCAGCUUCCCCAGGUGGGAAGGCACCCGCUGGGCUCACCGCUCCCACCCCUGCCUUGGCUGGGCCUGUCCCUGCCUGUCCCAGAGCUGUUGUGCUGCGGGGUGCUGGCUUUGCACAGGGAUUAAGCGUUCCUGGAAGCAACGCGCAUUAUAGCACUGAGCAGCUAGAGCAGGGUUAAUGGAGGGCAUUGCCAGAAACCUGGGAGUUCGCUCAGGUCUGUGCAGUCAGAGCAUUGCUCAGAGUGAUGAGGUUCUGCCUAAGCUCGGAGGCCCAGGGAGGUGCAGUCUGUUCAGCGGGCGUAGUUAGGAGCAGGUAUAUGGAACAGAAGAAUCAAGAUAAGCACUCAGAAGUAUUCCACCUGGGGGUUUUGUCUGAGCUUGUUUUUGGAUUAACCUGAGCAAGCAGGGCCAUCCUUUGGACGGAGCCCACAAUCAACCUUCUGCUACACUGGUGUGAGCUUGUGCUCCUUCUCCCUGGAUAGCACUCAUUUAAUGGUGGCUAAACCCAAGGAGGGUUUUCUAGCUAUUUUAGCUGCCUUGCAGUUGAGUUCCUUGGUUUUGAUGGAAGGUUUCAGCUGUUGAGUCCUUUGGGUCAAAACUGGAGGGAAUUGGGCGAAUGCAGGACUGCGCUGCAGCUGACAGAGCCGGGCGGCACAGUGCUUUUGUUUUCUAUUUCUAACGAAAGGCAUUUUGCAGUCAUUAGGGUCCCCCGCUCCCAGAGUCUGAGGCUGAACUUCAUGCACCAGGAGUUCCCCUUGUGCAGCCGCAGCGCCGCCCAGCCUGCCCCAGCUCUGCGCAUUGCUGGAGUGCCUGCCCGGCUAUUUCUGUGCCACACAUGUGGCUGCAGUCAAGCGCUGCUUCUCUGUUGAGGACAGCUGAGAGUUUCCAUAACCUUUGACUAAGAAAUAACCGUAUCUUUCCUUGCAGCCACUCUGCACAACAGACAGCACAUAAGAUAACAUCAGUAUUACUGUAUUAAACCCAUUGUUCUGGUGUUGCACUUCUUUCCACUGGCUGUGAAGAAGAGGGAACAAAUGGCACAUUCAGACCAUGGCAGAAAUGAAUAGUCUGAUGUAUUUUCCCUCUGUUUCACUUAGGGAUUACUCAUUAAUUAACCUUUUUGUUUUUAUUUUAAACACUCCUGUGGGUUUAUCUAGCACCCUUCAGAUGCUGCUGCAGGCAGAGCACCAGGAGGUGGCUGCGCCUGGCACAGCCCAGAGAGCAGACUGGUGUCAGGUCACCGCUGCCAAGGUCAGCAGCUCCACUGCCGCAGGAAAGGAAAACACGCUGUAACACAGACUGCUCCUUUUCCCGGCCGCCUCGGGGACAAGGAAGCAAACACAGCAAUAACAGUGUGUGCCUCUGACACGGUGCUUGUUCUACAGAUGCUUUGCACAUGCACCCCGAGGAUAUAGGUGUCCAUGUUCAUUGCAUCUGCUGGAGCUCUGCCGCGUGCUUCGUGGCUGUAUGUAAUGAAUGCUGGCAGCAGUCAGUCUUCCAGCAAAGCAGUACGUAUGCUGGGUCCAUUCAUGCCCUCUUACUCUCUGCAGGUUGGUUGUCAGGGUGAUAAAAGCUGGGCCUGGAGCUAUUCAGCUCCAUGCUAUCUUGGCUGCUAUCUGCUGCAUGCAGGUAUCUGGUGAUGCGCAUUAAAACAUGUAAGAUAGCAAUGCAUACACUCUAUGCACUGAGGGGCAAAUGCAGCCUGAAAGCUUUCACCCUCCCUUCAAUUUCAGCUUGCUUUGUUUUUGCCAAAGCUAACCCCAAAGUGCCCAACAGCACAGAGGACUGCUGAAUCUUAUUUGGGAGUUGUGGCUUGCAGUAGCCUGCCACAUCAGAUUUUUCCUCCUGAGAAAACUUGCAGUCAAAAUGCUUGAUAGUUUGUGCAAACUUGUUUGCUGUAAUACUUGCUAUAAUGUGCUGUGUUUGCUUUAAGUCUGCCCACAAAGUAGCAUCUGAGCAUUAGGGCAGCAUCCCGGAGCAUUGUAAGGCCAUACCCUGAACAUGUCAUGGGAGGAGAACCCGUUUGCAGGCUGUUCUAUAAAGCACAACCAAGUCAGUUCACAGGUCUGACCCUCCCUGGGCUGUAGAUAGCUGUCCCGCUGGCUUGCCAGCGGUAGCACAGGACACUGACAAGUCUGUUUUUAAAACCCCUGGGUGGAAAAUAACCAGGAGAGGGGUUUCUGCCAAGUCAGAGCAGGAGAGGUGCUGCAAAAUAGCGUAGCAUUGUGCCUCCCAGUGAGCAAGCGUCCCGGUGCGGAGGCAUUUCUGUUUAUGUAACCCAAAGCAGACUCUGCUGCUCGGGCUGCGUUUCCAGACUAUUGCUGGGAGCCAGCAAACAUGCUUCAGGCUGACAACCUUUUUCUCCAAGUGGUUGCUGAACUUGUCAUAUGUUGAGUCAGCGGAGGGAGGUCUGGUGCCCCUGCUUGGAUUCUGCAGUGAGUGGGGAGCAACCAUCCCAUGGCAGGGGGGUUGGAACCGGGUGAUCUUCAGGUCUCUUCCAACCUAAGCUAUUCCAUGAUUCUAUGAUAAGACCGAUUCUGAUCUUUCCUGGAAGCACCUAAGCGAGACAAAGAGUAGAAGUGGGUUAUUUUGAGACACCAAACCCAAAGAGACUGUGGGGAAGAGCCUCCUCCAUUCGAAGUGAUGGGAUCUUGCAUUCAAGUCAGUGCUGCUCUGAGUGAGCAACAGAUGAAGCUCAGGCUGAGCCGUGCUUGGGAGGACGUACAAGCUUUUCCAUUCAAGAUCUGGAGAUUAUGUUUACAGAUGGUGAUACUUGUGAAAGAAUACUCAAAAGUGAGCUUCAACACUGCAUGUGAAGGAGAGCUUGCAAGUUUUAUUUGAAGCAGUAACCAGCAGAAAAGCACCAUAGCCUCAUGUGCAUCCGUGACACCAUCGACCUGUGUGUAGGCUUCAUUCAAAGUCAACAAAAGCUCUGCUGCCAUGGGUAGCACCUCAAGCUGCUUGCACAGCCAAGCAUCUUUGGAGGAAGUUUUUGUGCCUUCUCAUGCUCCUGCUCUUGCAUUUCUCUGAGAUGCCCCUCUCCAGGUCCUCUGCACUUGUACGGUUCAGCAGAUCAAACUGCAGGUGGUGCUUGCUUGAUGGCCCUCAUUUCUUGCAGCCACACUGCUCUGAGCAUUGCAGAUUUACCCAGCCAACCUGAGCACAGCAAACAGGAGGCGGGCAACAGCAGGUAAGUGUGCUCCACCCGAGAGAUAGCUGCAGGCAGUGACGUGAAGCACACCAACACCCGGGGCCACGCUUGGCUGGCUGCAGGCACUCCCACCUUGGCCCUGCUCCAGCGUGGGCUCACUACGGUGCUGGGAUGGCUUUGCAGAGUGCUGCACAUUUACAAGGUGUAGCACACUUUCCAGACCUAAAAAAACCCCCAGCACCACCAGUUGGAUGCUGCUAAGUUGCCCAAGGAUGAUGUCUUGUGUCUGCUCCUCAGAGUCAGGAGAAGCUGAUGACAUGACAUACAAUGACCUGGGUAGCUUUAGAUAUCAAGUAUUCAGAAGCCAAACAUGAACGGCAAGAAGCUCCAAGUACGGAGCUCUCACGCCUUCCAGGCGUAAAGAGGACUUGGAAAUCACAGUUGUUUUCUUCCUAUGGUAAAAGGUAUUUAAUGCAUAACAAAUAUCAAAUUGGUAAUUUGGGAGGAACAUGUUUAAACAUUUGUAGCAUUGAAUCACUUUCUGCAUACAAAAAAUAGAAGAAGAAAAGGAUAUUGUUUUCAACAUUUACACCCAACUUUUUUUAAGCUAAGAAUUAGCUUAAAAUUCUUAACUUUAAGAAUUAGAUUAGACAAUUCAUUCUGGGCCGAAGUCCAAAUAUGACUAAGUUUGACAGAGGCAGCCAGUUGGCAAAGAGCUUGGCAACAGGUUGGUAUACGUUUCUGAAGACAGUGACCAGGGAACAUGAGGGUCCACCUGCAUCUCCAUCAGCACCUCAUCCGAUUCAUAUGAGAUGUAAAAAGAAGGGAACGGAUCGAAUACCUACACUAUCUGCAGGACUCAAAUGAUGGUUUUCAUCGAGUCCAUACAAGGAGUGGGGGUACUCACAGCCCCGAAUGGUUUCAGCCAGGACCUUGGUGUUACUGCUUUUUGAAAGAUACAGGGGCAUGUUUGGAAAUUUAUCUCUCUGUGGAGUUUUGUUGCCAAAAAUGAUGUGUGUUACACGUGGAUGACCUUACAUCUCUACACCUGAGAGGCUUGUAAACAGAAAUUUCUGACCUAUUGUAGCGAUCAGAAGGACCAACACAAUGGUAAAGGCAUUACAAAAGAGAUGGA